rnacentral:rRNA from 1 species
GAUGAACGCUGGCGGCGUGCCUAAUACAUGCAAGUCGAGCGAACAGACGAGGAGCUUGCUCCUCUGACGUUAGCGGCGGACGGGUGAGUAACACGUGGAUAACCUACCUAUAAGACUGGGAUAACUUCGGGAAACCGGAGCUAAUACCGGAUAAUAUAUUGAACCGCAUGGUUCAAUAGUGAAAGACGGUUUUGCUGUCACUUAUAGAUGGAUCCGCGCCGCAUUAGCUAGUUGGUAAGGUAACGGCUUACCAAGGCAACGAUGCGUAGCCGACCGGAGAGGGUGAUAGGCCACACUGGAACUGAGACGCGGUCCAGACUCCUACGGGAGGCAGCAGUAGGGAAUCUUCCGCAAUGGGCGAAAGCUUGACGGAGCAACGCCGCGUGAGUGAUGAAGGUCUUCGGAUCGUAAAACUCUGUUAUUAGGGAAGAACAAAUGUGUAAGUAACUAUGCACGUCUUGACGGUACCUAAUCAGAAAGCCACGGCUAACUACGUG